rnacentral:rRNA from 1 species
AGGACGAACGCUGGCGGCGUGCUUAACACAUGCAAGUCGAGCGGAAAGGCCCUUCGGGGUACUCGAGCGGCGAACGGGUGAGUAACACGUGAGUAAUCUGCCCCUAGCUCUGGGAUAGCUCCGGGAAACCGGGAUUAAUACCAGAUACGACCACUUUAGACAUCUGUUGUGGUGGAAAGAAUUUCGGCUAGGGAUGAGCUCGCGGCCUAUCAGCUUGUUGGUGAGGUAACGGCUCACCAAGGCGACGACGGGUAGCCGGCCUGAGAGGGCGACCGGCCACACUGGGACUGAGACACGGCCCAGACUCCUACGGGAGGCAGCAGUGGGGAAUAUUGCGCAAUGGGCGAAAGCCUGACGCAGCGACGCCGCGUGGGGGAUGAAGGCCUCGGGUUGUAAACCCCGUUUCAGCAGGGACGAAGCGAAAGUGACGGUACCUGCAGAAGAAGCGCCGGCUAACUACGCGCCAGCAGCCGC